rnacentral:rRNA from 1 species
AUGCAACUAGAGUUCAAGAAUGCUAUGCUUGAAGCCCUCAGAAGCCCGCUAGAUUUUGACAACGAUGACAGGUUGUCUGCAGUUGAUCCAAGUGCCGAGAAGAAGCCGCACACAGAAGAAGCACUCCCCCUCAGCCUGCUCCCUGACGUGCUGCCAUGCAUCGCCCUACCCACCCCUCCUGCCAUAGUUGAGCUCCAAGUCGCUGCGGUUAUGCAGCAGGUCAACCACCUGAACAUCAUAGAUGACGAUCACCCAAGGCUCUUCACCAGCAUACCUGCUCCACUCCUGGCCACCCCAAAGCCACCACGCACAUUUGCACCACCCAAGACCAGAGCCACCUCAGCACCAUCCAGACGCAGCGCAAGACAGGCGGCAACAAACAGCUCCGUCCCGGUGUCGCAGUGA